GACUGGUCCCAGUGCAGUGGUGUUUAUAAUUUAUCAAUCAUAGCCAGUUACAGAUUUAUUUAUUCCUUCUCCACUCCCACUGCUUCACUUGACUACCCUUAC
rnacentral:Y_RNA from 1 species